CCUACGGGAGGCAGCAGUGGGGAAUAUUGGGCAAUGGAGGAAACUCUGACCCAGCGACGCCGCGUGCGGGAUGAAGGCCUUCGGGUUGUAAACCGCUUUCAGUAGGGAAGAAGCGAAAGUGACGGUACCUACAGAAGAAGCACCGGCUAACUAUGUGCCAGCAGCCGCGGUAAUACAUAGGGUGCAAGCGUUGUCCGGAAUUAUUGGGCGUAAAGAGCUCGUAGGUGGUUCGUCACGUCGGAUGUGAAAAUCUGGGGCUCAACCCCAGACCUGCAUUCGAUACGGGCGAUCUAGAGUGUGGUAGGGGAGACUGGAAUUCCUGGUGUAGCGGUGGAAUGCGCAGAUAUCAGGAGGAACACCAAUGGCGAAGGCAGGUCUCUGGGCCAUUACUGACACUGAGGAGCGAAAGCGUGGGGAGCGAACAGGAUUAGAUACCCUGGUAGUCCACGCCGUAAACGGUGGGCACUAGUUGUGGGAACCUUCCACGGUUUCUGCGACGCAGCUACGCAUAGUCGCCCGCCGUCGGGAGGUACGAGCGCGAAGAAUUAAACUAACAAUAGAAGUUAGACGGCGUGAGACGUACGACCGACGGACGACGACGAGGGAGGUUAGG
rnacentral:rRNA from 1 species